AUUUGUACUAAUGACCAGGUAACCGUCGAAGUCCAGAACACACAGUAGAUGACAUCAGUGAUCUAACCUAUGAGACAUGAUGGGUGGAUGGACACCAAAUGAGGGACAAGUCACUGGUGCUGAGUUUAUCAACAGGUUGUGAUUCUGCGCUGAACUGGUCACACCAUCGGUCCAGCUGCUCCUCCUGCCUCCAGCAGACGCACAUUUUCCCAGAGGUCCAUGCAGCCCAGCGGUGUCCUGAAGUUACCAGGACUGCGGGAUGUAUUGUGACAGACUUUAAAUGUGAGGAAGAGGAGCCCUCAUCACCCAUCACCUCUGUGAGAUGAAAGGCCCCGAAAGCAGCUAGCCACCCUGCUGGACACAGCUCAGCUGUUAUAAGAAGUGUUUGACAGGAGUGGCAGGUACUUGACCUUCUC